rnacentral:rRNA from 1 species
GACGAACGCUGGCGGCGUGCUUAACACAUGCAAGUCGAACGGAAAGGCCCUGCUUGGGGGGGGUGCGCGAGGGGCGAACGGGUGAGUAACACGUGAGUGACCUGCCGUGGACGUUGGGAUAACGUCAGGAAACUGGGGCUAAUACCGGAUAGGAGGUCCUGCGGCAUGGAGGGGGAUGGAAAGUGUCGGCGGUUGGGGAGGGGCUGGCGGCAUAUGAGGGUGGUGGUGGGGUAAUGGCAUACCAAGCCGACGAUCUGUAGCUGGUCUGAGAGGGGGAUCAGCCACACUGGGACUGAGACACGGCCCAGACUCCUACGGGAGGCAGCAGUGGGGAAUUGUGGACAAUGGGCGCAAGCCUGAUCCAGCCAUGCCGCGUGCAGGAUGAAGGCCUUCGGGUUGUAAACUGCUUUUGUACGGAACGAAAAGCCUUCUUUUAAUACAGGAGGGUCAUGACGGUACCGUGAGAAUAAGCACCGGCUAACUACGUG